rnacentral:rRNA from 1 species
GACGAACGCUGGCGGCGUGCUUAACACAUGCAAGUCGAACGGAAAGGCCCUGCUUGCCGGGUACUCGAGUGGCGAACGGGUGAGUAACACGUGGGUGAUCUGCCCUGCACUUCGGGAUAAGCCUGGUAAACUGGGUCUAAUACCGGAUAGGAGCCAUUUUUAGUGUGAUGGUUGGAAAGUUUUUUCGGUGUAGGAUGAGCUCGCGGCCUAUCAGCUUGUUGGUGGGGUAAUGGCCUACCAAGGCGGCGACGGGUAGCCGGCCUGAGAGGGUGGACGGCCACAUUGGGACUGAGAUACGGCCCAGACUCCGACGGGAGGCAGCAGGGGGGAAUAUUGCACAAGGGGCGCAAGCCGGAUGCAGCGACGCCGCGUGGGGGAGGACGGCCUUAGGGUUGGAAACGCAUUUCGCUAGGGACGAAGCUUUUUGUGACGGUACCUAGAGAAGAAGCACCGGCUAACUACGUG